rnacentral:rRNA from 1 species
GGGGAAAGCUUGCUUUCCUGCCGGCGAGUGGCGAACGGGUGAGUAAUACAUCGGAACGUGCCCUGUAGUGGGGGAUAACUAGUCGAAAGAUUAGCUAAUACCGCAUACGACCUGAGGGUGAAAGUGGGGGACCGCAAGGCCUCAUGCUAUAGGAGCGGCCGAUGUCUGAUUAGCUAGUUGGUGGGGUAAAGGCCUACCAAGGCGACGAUCAGUAGCUGGUCUGAGAGGACGAUCAGCCACACUGGGACUGAGACACGGCCCAGACUCCUACGGGAGGCAGCAGUGGGGAAUUUUGGACAAUGGGCGAAAGCCUGAUCCAGCAAUGCCGCGUGUGUGAAGAAGGCCUUCGGGUUGUAAAGCACUUUUGUCCGGAAAGAAAUGGCUCUGGUUAAUACCCGGAGUCGAUGACGGUACCGGAAGAAUAAGGACCGGCUAACUACGUGCCAGCAGCCGCGGUAAUACGUAGGGUCCAAGCGUUAAUCGGAAUUACUGGGCGUAAAGCGUGCGCAGGCGGUUGUGCAAGACCGAUGUGAAAUCCCCGGGCUUAACCUGGGAAUUGCAUUGGUGACUGCACGGCUAGAGUGUGUCAGAGGGAGGUAGAAUUCCACGUGUAGCAGUGAAAUGCGUAGAGAUGUGGAGGAAUACCGAUGGCGAAGGCAGCCUCCUGGGAUAACACUGACGCUCAUGCACGAAAGCGUGGGGAGCAAACAGGAUUAGAUACCCUGGUAGUCCACGCCCUAAACGAUGUCAACUAGUUGUUGGGGAUUCAUUUCCUUAGUAACGUAGCUAACGCGUGAAGU